CCACCACUAAUUAAGGGGUGCUUGCUUUGUUUAAGUUCUUUUCAUUCUUGCAUGAAUAAAGAUAUCAAAGAUUUGAGAUUUUACUUCGGACGUUCCUAGAGAUGAAGAAAAACAUGGAGGACAACUAAUGGUUCAAAGUUGUAUAGAAGGGCUUUUAUUUUCAUGUUUUCAAAAAUAGUUUUCUAUCAUAUUGUGUUUGAUAAUAAAGAAAGAAUUAAAUUGCAAACCGUGUUGUACAUCA